rfam:Gossypium arboreum cultivar AKA8401 contig_3707_1, whole genome shotgun sequence.
UGUUAAAAUUCUCAUCUAUUUAUUUGUAUUGUUAAAAGCUGGUAUGACUGACAGAAUAAUCAAACAAUGACAGGUGGGGAGCCACAUGUACCUCAUACUGAUAUUCAAGGAUCAAUUUCUAAUAAUAUAAAUAGAUGAAAUUUUUAACA